ACACGACCAACUCCUUCUCUUCCUCUUGCUUCAUCUUCGCCGCCCCCUUCCUUCUCCGACCAAGUCGCCGUGCCCAGGGCGUCAGGGUAUGUAUUCCUUCUCCCUCGCUCGGCGAUUUACUUCGGUUUGGGGGCGGAAUUUAGGAUGUGCUGCUCGUGUCGCGCUACAUCUGUGUGUGUAGCAGCGCAAAUCUUGAUACUACUAUAAUUUUGGAGAGCUGGGCGGCCAAUCUGAGAUCUGUUUGAUGGUGUGUUCUCAGUAAGCUGAAACUGGGCGUUCUUUGACCAGCUGUGCCAAUGCAGCCCCUGUAUCUCUAAACUUAAGAAACGGGGGCAUGUAUGUUGGGGUAUGAAUUUUCUAUCUGUUUGCUAGAGAUUUAAGUCAUAUGUCUGGCAGCACAUGGACCACGUUUGUUGAUGCAACCCAAACAUGCCUCCUUUUCAUUCUUGAGUUUUCUAUAAUUGGAACCAGCUGCGAUUGUUAUCAAGUUGAGAGCUGGAAGCACCUAGUUCCUUAGGUAUAUCCAACUUGCUGAAAGUUUACAAUGCCGGGUGUUGUACAUUGUACUAACUAACUGACGCCUUCGGCAUCGGUGGCCCUUUGCCUGCCCCAGUCUGCCACCGUAUGUCCAACUCAAUUGCUUAUCAGAUUUUUGGUCUCUUAUUACCAACCUCUUUUAAUAGAAAGAAAAAUCAGGUUUCUUUUUAUCAACUUGCCCAUGGCAAGAUUACAAUGUGGAUUACUCCUUCAUCUCCUGAAAUAAGACUUUUUUUUUUGUUCUGAUCAUCCGGCCUGCUUGUUCCACUUCAGGUGUAUAAGGAGGAGCAUGUGGCUGACCAUGUAUCUAGCACACGCGCUGCAAGAACAGGAUGUCUUGUCCUUGAAGGAGUUGGUUGACACUAAAACAUUGGAGGAAUCACCCAUCACUGCCACUUCCUUGCCCUCUCCGCAGGACACGAUUGAGAUCUCACCAUCAUCAUGGUGCUGCCUUUCCUCCAACCCCAGCAUGGCUAGAGAAGGCAGGGUCCACCGAGCUGCAUCUGGC
rnacentral:lncRNA from 1 species